rnacentral:misc_RNA from 1 species
ACAGAGUACAAGUGUCUUGUU